ACAAUGCGGGACUGUUAGUCUUGCAAUUGGAUUGAGAACAACGUACAACUCUUAUCGAUAAGCCAUUGGAGGGCAAGUCUGGUGCCAGCAGCCGCGGUAAUUCCAGCUCCAAUAGCGUAUAUUAACGUUGUUGCAGUUAAAAAGCUCGUAGUUGAAGUGAGGGAGUGUGUGGGUAUGAGAGCUAGUCUCAAGUACUCACAACCUCCCCCCUCCAAUCGGUGUAGUGGGGUAUUCAGUUAUUCUACUACUCCUUUGGUCGUUUACUGUGAGAAAAUUAGAGUGUUCAAAGCGGGCGUUUGUUUGAAUAGAUUAGCAUGGAAUAAUGAUUGAAGGCUUUCGUGUUCGAUUUGAUUGGUUUGUUCAUGGAAGCAAGGUUAAAAGGAACAGUUGGGGGUAUUCAUAUUCACUAGUUAGAGGUGAAAUUCUCGGAUUUAUGGAA
rnacentral:rRNA from 1 species